UUACGGUCAAAUCACGCUGAAAACACCGGUUCUCGUUCGAUCACCGAAGUUAAGCAUCGUAGAGCCAGGUCAGUACUUAGAUGGGGACUUAAACACCUGGU